CCAAUCCUGGCCCCGCCCUCUGGCCCCACUCCCUCCCGGUAUCACCACCUGCCAUCCCCACCCUGACCCCGGUACGGCCCCUCCCCCGGAGCCUCCAUGACAGCUGUUGCUUCAAGUAGUGAGCGAGGCUGUUUGUAACCAGGCCCACAUCAGGAGGGUGUUUACAAAGUGACAUUCAGCCAGCAACAAGUAACUGAUUGGCUGUGAAAUUGUGACCAGUUGUGGAUAUGAAAAGUCAUCAGCCUAACAACUUUCUGAUCGGCUCCUGGGCAGCUGAACAGCUUAUGGAUGCGAAUGAUACCAGCAGAAGCCUCCAGACUGCAAAUGGAGCAGAAAAUGCUGGCUGUGUCCCCCACUGACCCUGGAGAUGAACGGAUGCAAUGGUUGAUUGUAAUUUCCCAAAAUUCCUGGGAUUCCAGAUGAUUGGAAGACUGCCAUUGUGACACCCCUUUUUAAAAUGGAAAGGAGGCAAAAAGCAGGUAACUGUAGCCUAUUAGCCCAACAUCUAUUGUUGAAAAACUGUUGGAAUCAAUUAAGGAAGUAAUAGCAGAACAUUUGAAAGUUCAUAAUCUAAUCAAGCAUAGCUUCAUGAAAGGGAAAUCAUGUCAAGAGUUUGAGAG